ACGCUGCUGAAGAGUCCCAUACUAGGACAAAACGGCCGUCCAGCGA
rfam:Schistosoma margrebowiei strain Zambia genome assembly, scaffold: SMRZ_scaffold0001483